CGCUGGCGGCGUGCUUAACACAUGCAAGUCGAACGGAACUUAUUGGAUCAAGACUUCGGUCAAGUGAAUUUAAGUUUAGUGGCGGACGGGUGAGUAACGCGUGAGGAACCUGCCUUUCAGAGGGGGACAACAGUUGGAAACGACUGCUAAUACCGCAUAACGCAUAUUGAUCGCAUGGUCGAUAUGCCAAAGAUUUAUCGCUGAAAGAUGGCCUCGCGUCUGAUUAGCUAGUUGGUGAGGUAACGGCUCACCAAGGCGACGAUCAGUAGCCGGUCUGAGAGGAUGAACGGCCACAUUGGGACUGAGAUACGGCCCAGACUCCUACGGGAGGCAGCAGUGGGGAAUAUUGGGCAAUGGGGGAAACCCUGACCCAGCAACGCCGCGUGAAGGAAGAAGGCCUUCGGGUUGUAAACUUCUUUUACCAGGGACGAAGAACGUGACGGUACCUGGAGAAAAAGCAACGGCUAACUACGUG
rnacentral:rRNA from 1 species